GAUGAAGAACGUAGCGAAAUGCGAUACUUGGUGUGAAUUGCAGAAUCCCGUGAACCAUCGAGUCUUUGAACGCAAGUUGCGCCCGAAGCCAUUAGGCCGAGGGCACGCCUGCCUGGGCGUCACACGUCGUUGCCCCCCCAUCUACUCCUUCGGGAUUGCGGGGGGCGGAUGAUGGCCUCCCGUGCGCCUCGCCGCGCGGUUGGCAUAAAUGCCAAGUCCUCGGCGACGCACGCCACGACAAUCGGUGGUUGCGAAACCUCGGUUGCCCGUCGUGUGCGGUCGUCGUGCAUCGAGGGCUCGAAAAAAUUGCCGGGUUCCGGCUCGGCUUUCAACGCGACCCCAGGUCAGGCGGGGUUACCCGCUGAAUUUAAGCAUAUCAAUAAGCGGAGGA
rnacentral:misc_RNA from 1 species